rnacentral:tRNA from 1 species
CCCCGUGUAGCUCAGUUGGUAGAGCAUGGCGCUGGCAACGCCAGGGUUGUGGGAUUGAUAUCCCACAGGGA